rfam:Oryza sativa Japonica Group DNA, chromosome 11, cultivar: Nipponbare, complete sequence.
AAAAAGACAAACUAUAGGUUUUCAUGUCCAACUUUAACUGUCCGUCUUAUAUGAAAUUUUUUUAUAAUUUGUAUUUUCAUUGUUGUUAGAUGAUAAAAUAUGAUUAAUAUUUUAUGCGUGACUUGUCUUUUAUUUUUUUCAUAAUUUUUUCAAAUAAGACGGACGGUCAAACGUUGGACACGGAAACC